ensembl:lncRNA
GAAUAUAUAUGUAUAGAUCUACGCAUCUGUAUAUGUCGGCGUGUGGAAUUGUGGGUGAUUGGCAGUGCGUAGGCACCCUGAUCUCAGAAUCGGAUUGGUUGACGGAUUUACCUGUCAAUGGGCAGUUGGCGCCUUUCCUUUGGUUCGUCAUUUGGGAGAAAUACGAUGUCCUAAUAGCUUAAUAUACAAUGCUGCUCUCUGGUAUAAGCCAUGUAGAAGGGGGGAAAAACUGAAAAGUUAGUUUUCAAAGAAAUAUUGCUUGCAUUCAGUAGUAGCUAUUAAUUUCAUAUGGCUGGAGAUGCACGAAUGACGUAUCUAGAAUGUGUAUUUCUAUGGCUCAGACAUUCUGUUGAACGGUAGAACCAACUCAUAUGCUUUUCUUUUCCAUUCCAUGCGAGAGCCUUGUGUGAUGAGGAACACUCAAGCGGUUGCGACCUGUUGGCUGUGUGGAUUAGGAGAGUUUACACAUAAAAUGUAAAGCACUUCAAAACCAGUCCGUUAUAUCUAACUAUUUUGGCUAUUCUGCAGAGAACUUAAAGGUGGGGGGGGGGUGGGGGGCGUCAUAGAUCUGAUAAUUUUUUGACAUCACCGGUUGACCACAUUUAAUGUCUUAUCACCAAUUCUACUGUUCAAUUAGACCUGAGUGAUAUUGUAAACUAGAUAAUGGCCGCUGAGGUCCUCUUUCUAAAACAGAUAAUUAUCCUGUAGUUCAAGGUUACUGAACUACUAUGUGAGAAGGUCCGUUAACACAGAUUUCAGAGAUUGCGAACGUCCACUCUGGAUGGACAUUGUCAUUCAACGCAAUAACACAGCCUUACACAGAGACCCCAAACUGUUUACACCACUCUCCUUGGCAGAGAGAACAUUUAAUUACUUUAAAGCAAAUUUCCUACAAUUCUACACAUUUUGACAAGAGGUGUAGGGAGAAUAUUAGUUUUUAUGCAAAUGUGUUGCAUUUCUACGCCACUCCUUAUGUGCAUAAUUAAAUCUGGCGAUGAUCAUAAUGAUUUAGGUAGCUGGUUAUCUUAAUUUACCCAGCGGGUUAGCCUUAAAUUUCUGUCUAGCUUACAUGGCCAGUAGUUAAUUAACUGAACUUUGCUGACAAGUUAUAAAUGGCUCUCUGAGGUUUGUCAGUGAAUAACAUAAUAAGAAAAAUUGCCAUAUGCUACCAGAUGUCAAAAUGUAAUUGCACCUUGUUCUGCCAUUCUACCAGUGCAACGCUUAUUUUAUUUUUCUCACCUGAUUGCGGUCUGCCAGUUGAAUAUUGCUGCUCUACUUGCAGAAUGAAGAUAAUCAUGUAAUUAUUCUUGAUUUAGCCUAAUCUGGAUCCUAGGAUUGGUUAAGGGGUAGGCUGAUUCUAGAUCUGUACCUGGGAGAGACAUAUCCCUCAGUAAUAACUGGCAUUGACCUCCUGGCAUGUUUCAAUCUUGUCAGCUUUUAGCUGUGGCCUUGAAGCUUAGACGGUGACAGUAGCUGGGAAAACUAUUAAGAAGAGGAGAAAAUGAUUUGUCAAGGAAGAUGGUGGACUGUAGUACAUUCUGUCAUUUAGUCACUGUAUGCAUUUGGCCAAGUUUAGCUGCCGAGUGCCUCCUCUGCUUUAACCACCCUCGUGAUUGGCUCAACUGAAACUACUGUGACUUAGUUGUGAUAUCAUCACUGUAAGCUACAGGGAGUGCUAUUUUGUGGUCUUCAUGGCAGGAAGCGGGUGAGAACAAAGGACCAUGUAUCUAACGUUGAAGAAAUAAUAUUAGGACAUUGUCACUAGUGUUCAGUAAACCUUCGUCAUUGCUUUAAAUCGUCACGAUGUUGUCAUUGAGCAGAGUGCCUCUCCCCUCGGACCUAUGAACCACUGUCACCCGUGUCCAACAUAAUCCAGUAUUUGGUUGAGUUCCUUACCAGCCACCAUAACAAAUGUACCAGUGACUGACUGCAAAACAUUUUCCUCAAUCGAUAGGCUGUGUAACUUGUAUAGAGUGACGCUCUGCCAAUCAGAAUGUCUUGUGUAAAGGAUCCACCUGCUGAUUGGUGGAAUUGUUUUUUUUUUAGUUCUUACAAGUGAUGGACAAGUUUCUCAAAAAGAGUCUCUGUCUCCCAGAGUUCUGUUAAAUGGAUGAUCGGUGACAUGAGUCCUUUUCCUCUGAACCACUCGUGUUGAUGUUGGUUUGGUGAAGGUUAUGUUGCGUUGUUGUGAGGUUACGGCUGCAUGAUGACCUGUGCAUUUUGGGCCGUGUUGGUUUUUGAUUUCCUUCACGCAAAUCUCUGUGUGUAAAGACAGAGUUGAUCGUUUUCAUUUGAUCAAAUAUAGAUUUUCAUUACAAAAGUAUUGAUUUUCAGUAUGUAUGUAUAAGGCUUGGUUAUCAUGUAAGUGCCACAAGGGGAGAUUUCUCUCUUUCGCGCUUGGGCGCGUCUGGUUUUGCACAGUUUUAGCUGCUCAAUAUUCAGUGAAAUGUAGGGGAUAUUCCAAAAUGCUUGCUGAAGAAAAGUCCUAACGUGGCUUUAUGACCUGCAAUCAAGACAUUUAAACUCCAGAAGUUAUACCUGGGAAUCUGUUCAAUAGCAUUAACUUCUGUGUAUGUUGAAGGACAAAAGUGAAAAUCUGAAGUUUCUUAAUUGAUUUUUGGUCAUUAAUCCAGCUUAAGCACUUUUACAUUUUCAUUCAUCGGUUUAGAACGUCUUAAUUUUAGCUUUUGACAUUUUCAUAAAACUCCAAACUGGAACAUAGGAACCAUUGAAUGAAAUUAAACUAGAACUUGGAUCAGUAGGCAGUCUGUCUUUUCUUGACGUGUUUAUUUCUAUAUCAAACCAGGGGUGAAUUCAUACAAUACAUCAUGGUACACCAGCAGCAGCUAGCUUAACAGUCUCAUUUUUGGAGUUUUAAGGUGUGUUUUUGUAUAAAGGUUGUACAAAGCAAUUUCCAUUACAUAUCCAGUUUGAAAAAUGAAUUUUAAUUGAACUCACAAAUCAUGAAAGAAUAAUAUGAAUCGUUUUGAUCAAGUGAGGUUGCCUUUCAAUUCAUUUUCAGAAUGUGACAUAGACGACCCAACUCAACUCCAUGAUUUACAAUUGGGCCUGAGCAGAGGUAGGGGAAAUAAAGCAAUGGGUGCUAAAAUCCUAAUUUUUUUUCUCCAGAAUUGGCUUGGCGGUUGAAAGCACUUCAUCGUCUAUCCGUUGCCAUCGUAACCAAGCCUCAUAUCCUGGUGACAGCAUAACAACGGGGUCUGGGAGUCCCACGAAAGGCCAGUGCAAAUGUCUCGCUACUGCCUGGGUCAUUGGGGAGACCUGGUUGCCUCGAAUGCCUUGUGAGUGACGGGGCAGCAGGUUCAAAUCCGGCUGUGGGUUCCAGCCCGAGGUUGGAGGUCCGGUUCGGUCCACACCGGUCGCCGCUUAACCCGAUUUGUGAAUUGCGGAGUUGAGUUUAGUCUGCUAAAUGUGACAGGGAUUGAUACACAGUACCGUUAAAACUGACGUGUAGGUUUUAUUUUUUUUUCCUUCAGACAUUAAAAGGAGUGUCCACAAUGGAUGUACACAACAAUGAUCUACCUCUUUUAGCUACAGAUUAUGCUUUAGCGUUAAGCAGUUGCCUCUGUUUUGACUUUUGUAAUAUGUGUUGGUAUUUAUUGCUGUCUAAUGAAACACUUUGACAAUUACCUCAAAGAUAUCUCAUUAUGCAGACUGGGAAUGAAGCUAAUGAAGGUCAUUUGUAGUUGGCAGUAUUUUUAGACAAAUAGCAUUGCCUGUUAAGGUUGUGUUUUUAUUGGCCCUGCUUUCUGACCAAUAGGAGUCCAGGCCGGGGUUCGGUAAGGCCAGGGUUGCGUUUCAUUCUAUUUUGUGGUUUUGUUUCUUUCUCUCGGUUCACUCACUGUCUCGGAAUCAGCUGGGUAGUAUGCAGGGAAUACCUCCAUUUGGUGUAUGUCCUCAUUUAGCUUACAUUGAACAAGAACAAAGAAAGAAAGGACGCCAAUUCCUGGAAUGAAAUGCAGCCCGCAAAUGCUUCAUUGUCACCUCAGUAUAGAUCGGUAAUAAGUUGUAUGGUUUGGUUGAAGAGUUGGCACACCUACUCCUGGUACAGUUAGCAUGGUCUUUAGCCACACUACGUCUCACUCAGUCUGAGACCUCCUUUUCCCUGAUCUCCCUCCCUUCUCCCUGAUCUCCUACGUUUCCCAACUCUGAAAUACCCCGAACCAACUUCGCAGAGCAGAACAUAGAUAUUCAGAUUUUUCAGGAGGGCGGAAGUGUUGACAGGACAAAGAUCAGUAUCCAUUUAAUGCUGCUUUAAUGAAGAGCAUCGCAGCUCGAUCGGUGUGCUAUUAUUCAUACUAACAUCGGCACGGAUGAGCAUCGCCCAGCAGAAAUAUGCUAACCCUGACAUGUGACCCUCAGUGUCGUGUCGUGUACUUUAGGUUGGUAUGAAACUAGGGAAAGCAGGUUCUCGAAAAGCAUGUCGGUCGAGUAUCCAGUUGAAACAUGUGGACUUGAGGAAGUUGAUGCGCAUUUAUCGACUCUGAUUUAACCGCUUUAAUUCAUCGACGAGGGCGGCAAAUGUCGUGUUAUAUUAAUCACCAGCUACUCCACCUGUCAACCUAAAGGCACGUUUUGUUUGACCUUAUAUUCCAAACCUUUUUAGUCACUUGUGCUGAGCCAAGGUUUGCCUGUUACUUCUCUUAGAGCAGCUCCCUCUUGGUGGACAGAACAGUGUGUGCACUAAGAAGAGGCCGAUGUUGCGCAGUACCGAUUCAAUAUGUUGAGUACCUGCUACUAAUGUCUUUGAAUACUGUUUUUAAAUAAAUAUAAUAAAAAUUGACAUGCUCCCUACCAUCCAACUGUUUGUCUCAAUUUUGACAGCUCAUAUUCAAACAGAACUUAAAAUAAAGAACAGUCAAAAUAUGUCCAGCUAAUUCUGACUUUGCACUAGCUAUUGGAUGCAAAGAAAAAUAUGAGGAAGAACCUGCAUAUACAAAGAAUUCUGUUUUUUCAAAUAAAAUGUGGUAUUGGCUCCCAUGAACAUACUUUUAAGGCAUGAGUUCAGAAUUAGUAGCGAUUUGCUAGCUACUUAUGUGUUAGCUACGCAUUAGCUAUAGGUAUUGACAGCCAGCAGAUACUGUGGCCGCCUCGGGCCUGGGUUGAGUGCCUAUAUGAACCUUUUGAUGGCUUGAGUGUUUUGCAAAGCAGGAUUAGGAAGUUACCAUGCUAACUUUUUCAAAUGUAUUUUCCAAAGUGUCUGAAAACGACUUCAUUUUUUUGCUCUCGUGACAGAUGAGAAGAUUAGCGAUAUUACUCAUCUAUUAUUCUUGCCACUGACUGGGAUUUCUACUUUAGCACAAUUUAUGAGGCAAAAACAAUCUGAUUAUUUAGGAGUUGUUUCUAAAACGUCAGCAUGUUAAAUGAGUAAUCCUGUUUUAAAGACACCGUUUCACAUUAGAUGGAAAGCCAGAGCAGUGUUGUAACACAAUGCGUACAGUUGGAUGGAUAUGCUUGCCAUACCUGCCUGUCUAUGUCAGCAUUCUAUGGCUGCAAUUAUCAAAGGAAUUCAAAUUUCUUGCCAUCUAUGUUUUUUUUUUUCUUUUAAGAUAUUUUUUUUUCUAUUACAGACAAAUUGGUGUUCAUGUAAUGUGUUUUUUUUUUGUCCGAUGUUUUGCAAAUCAAAUAAAGAACUGUACAUAGGG